AAUUCUCUAUCAUUGAUAUACUUGGUGAUGAUGGACCGAACUGUGAGUUGGAAAGUUCAACUCAUGAAGGCCAUGUUGCAUUUUUGAUUGAAGGUUUAGGUAAAGUUGAAAUGUCUACCCCAGUCCAUUCACCGCAGCUACCUGGCAGACCCUUGGCAUAUGGUAGGCCCUCACCCCCAAGCGCAAGGAGAAAAGUUCUCUCAUCUGACUACCUUAACAA